AGUCGUCUUAAGUAUGCCGGGAGCAUCCGCGGACAGGCUGAGGUAGUCUUUGGACAGAAACAAACUUCGGAAAGCUGUAUUGUCCUGAGAGUUUUCGUCACUGGAAAUGACAAAUGAAGUUUGUUGGUAUUGUGACGCUAAUCUUCUACUUUACAAGGACCUCAAGAACCUGAUAACAACCAGAAUUUGUGUAAUGGUUUUACAGGGACUGUCCCACUGAUUCUCAACACAGUGGUUUUAAGUAGCAUCAUCAUCUGUAAUCCCAUCUGAACCGAUGUGUAGAAUUUGAGAGACUGAAGGAGAGAAUCAAAGAAUAAUCCCGGAGAAGGAGCCCGAGUCGCCUUGCCCUAGGGACUGGGAGACACCUGCGCAGACAUCAGAUGCAGCGUGUUAGUGCUGCUGGGUGAGGGGAAGGUGAAGAGGAAGAAGAGUGGAUCAAAGGGCCAGAAGAGGACACCAGAUCUCAUUACAGAUGGUUGUGAGCCACCAUGUGAUUGUUGGAAAUUGAACUCAGGACCUCUGGAAGACCAGCUGGUGUUUUUAACCAUUAAGCCACCUCUCCAACCCCUCUAUUGAACUUUAAAUCCACUCCUCCCUCUGGAGCCUCAGCCAUUCUCUUUGAAGAUGUAUCUGAUCAUUGUCUUUGGAACAAAGAACCAUAUAUAACACAGUGUGUGGGUUUGAAUGAGGUUUCUACCGUCCAGGAAAGGGUUGGUUUUGCAUCUAGCAAGCCAUUGUUGAAAUGGCUUGCAUUUUAAACUUGUGGGCCCCAGAAAGCCUUCCAAGAGUGCCUUAUCCUGAACUGCCACUGCUAACAGGAAGCUCUCUCCUAUUUGUCUUCUAGUUUCUUGUACAUAAAAACCUGCUACUCACCUGAGGCAUCUCUUGUAAUGGGUCAGGUGCCCCUGGAGGAAAGCAGCAGCCCUCUGAAAUUCUCUUCUCUCUGGGACCUUUGUCUCUCACCUCCAGGCUGAUGCCUUAGUGGGUGAUGUGUGUUUAAUGUUGCUAUGUUUACUCAGUGAGAGAGAGUCUGCAAAAGAAGUCCCACCUUUGUUUCUUAAAUAUGUGUUCUGAUGUCCCUGAAGGGACAAAGGGAGCCUUAAGUCACACGUACAGACACACUUCCUCAUGCAGCCUUUGUAUGUUUAGAAGACAAAUGUGUCACAGAGACCCAUGUGUCUAAGGUGUGUCUAGCUUGGCACUAUUGGUAGGCUGUGGAACUUUAACUGGUGGGUCCUUAGCAGGAAGCCCUUAGGACUUUGGUGACAUACCCUUAAAGGGAACUGUGGGGCCUGUCCUCCUCCUCCUCUUCCUUCCUGGACAUGAGGUGAAUGGUUUCAUUUCUCACACACUCCAGCCAUCAUAUGUCAUUCUGUGGACUAGAAAUUCUGUGAGGCAAAACAAACCCUUUCUUUUUGUAAGUGGAUUAAUUACAGGGACAGAGGUUGACUGAAGGGCUUGUUUCUUCUGGAAUCGGGCUUUGUAAACAUCCUGGUGCUGUCAUUUCCCAGCCUUGUGAUCCUGGCAAAGCCUCUUCCUGGGUCUCGGUUCUCAUGUUACUUCCCUUGAUGGGCUGAAUAAGCUAAUAUAUGCCUAGUGCUAAAAGCAGUGCUCCGCACAUGUGGAGGCCCGCAGAGGCAGAUCCGUACUAUUGACUCAAGGUCAGAGUUCAAACUUUUUCUGGCUCCUUCAAGGUUAAACAACAGGAUGUUUGGCCUAAGGUGAGGCUAUUGGACGUCUUGACUCUCAAGACCAAAUUAUAAGGAUGUUCGACUUAGGGCGUGGUGACCAGGUGUUUCAGGUAUUGGGAAGGUAAUUUCGUUUGUUCUUUGUAUCAUGGAAGUCUUUUGCCCUCCCCUUUUGCUUGGGGUAUAUAAGGGUGAUGAGUAAUAAACUUGGGGCCUUGUAAAAGUAUUCGAUGAGUGCCCUCCCAACUCUA